AAGUCGUAACAAGGUUUCCGUAGGUGAACCUGCGGAAGGAUCAUUACUGAGCGUGGGUCCCCUGACCCACCCCCCUUCCCGGGGGUGGGCGGGGUUGACCCUAGACCUCCCACCCUUGUCGACUGUACCGUGUUGCUUCGGCGGGCCCGCCGUUGGCCGCCGGGGGGCUCGCGACUCGUGAGCGUUGUCCCCGGGCCCGUGCCCGCCGGAGACCUCCCUUGAAAUGCUACUGUGCUUAAUAAGGAAUGCUGUCUGAGUGUGAACGAUGUGAGAAACUGAUCAGCCAAAACUUUCAACAAUGGAUCUCUUGGUUCCGGCAUCGAUGAAGAACGCAGCGAGAUGCGAUAAGUAAUGCGAAUUGCAGAAUUCCGUGAGUCAUCGAAUCUUUGAACGCACAUUGCGCCCCCCGGCUUCCCGGGGGGCAUGCCUGUCCGAGCGUCAUUGCCAUCCCCUCAAGCCCCGCUUGGCUGGUUGGGCCGGCGUCCACCCCACGGCCUUUGUGCCCCGGGGGGGACGGGCCUGAAAGGUAGUGGCGGCUCCCGGAGGGUGGUCCUUUGGGGCGGUGAUACAUGGGUCGUUGUCUUCCGCCGCUCCGUUGGCCGCGCUCCGGGUGCCUGUCGAACGACUGGUCUUCCCCUUUAGGUUGACCUCGGAUCAGGUAGGGAUACCCGCUGAACUUAA
rnacentral:rRNA from 1 species